rnacentral:rRNA from 1 species
CAGUCGCCGCGGUAAUACGUAGGUGGCAAGCGUUGUCCGGAAUUAUUGGGCGUAAAGGGCUCGCAGGCGGUUUCUUAAGUCUGAUGUGAAAGCCCCCGGCUCAACCGGGGAGGGUCAUUGGAAACUGGGAAACUUGAGUGCAGAAGAGGAGAGUGGAAUUCCACGUGUAGCGGUGAAAUGCGUAGAGAUGUGGAGGAACACCAGUGGCGAAGGCGACUCUCUGGCCUGUAACUGACGCUGAGGAGCGAAAGCGUGGGGAGCGUACAGGAUUAGAUACCCCGGUAGUCCCUGUCUCUUAUAC